ACGAUAACACAAAAUAUAAAGAACACUUAAUUUACUUUCCCUCAUGCCAUGCCAGAUGCCUUUUUUCCCACCAACAUUUUUUUUUUAAGUUUUUAGAAAACUAGUCAAUUUAUUGCAAGUGAAGAGGUGCUACAAUGUGAAAGCUCAAAAGCGCAAACAGAUAUUGCUACAUUUAAUCCAUACAACUCUAUAUGAACUCAGGGAUGGGUUAUUUUUGUAUUAUAAAUUUACUCAUUUGGAUUCAUCUGAAGGUAGUCAUGUGAAUCUAGGACUGCAUGAGUGUGAGUAAAUUAAACAAUUUGCAAGUAUCCCUUUAAAAGAGUAACAAAAAGCCUAAUAUACUUUUCUGUUUCUUUUUACAGAUCAAUUAAGAGUUUAAUCAAAUUACAGCAAAAACCUCAAGCAAGAAUUUUUCUCUGCACUCGAUCAACAUGCUUCAUGAUUUCUGGACAUUUUUGAGAGCAAGAAAGGGGCUGUUGGAAAAAGACUGAAUUGCUUCAGCGAAUCAAACCUGUGAGCACUGAUAUCACUGCAAAGCGCACGGCAGUUCUACGUGGACUUCCACUCAUUCUUGGAGAAGAAGCCUCUGACUUUUUUACAACAGCACUGGACUGUGAAUGUGACACACCCCAGAUUUCCAUUGGGAUACUGACUGUGACACCAGAAGAUAGCCAGGAUUCCCCACAAGCACUGCAUUUGGAGGCUUCAAACACCGCAAUCAUCUUGGAAGGAGUCAUCCUGAUGGAUGAUCUUGAAAAUCUUCCAGAUGCCAUGUGACUACUUUUUGGGCUGACAUAUGCGCUGAGAGUGUUUCUUUUACUUGGACACAAAUUUCUGAAACCAAAACUACAGUCACUUAAAGACCUGCUGCUGAUGUAAGUUGAGGCUGUUUGAGAUUGUUUUAAAGGGAUAGUUGAAUCCCUUUA